rnacentral:misc_RNA from 1 species
UGCAUCACGUCGGGCGCUGCGAUCGUGACCUUAGGAAGUCCUUUGGCGGUGAUUUUCUUCAGAAAGGCAAAAUCAUCGGCCACGAUGCGCUGCUUGCGCCGCAGCGGCGCCUUCGCAUAGGGCGAGGACGCGAUCCCGAUGACGCGGCUCUCGUCGCGGAAGCUCAGCGUGCCGUCGCGCAGGCCGAAGCCGUCGACC